UUGCACGCUGGCGGCAUGCUUUACACAUGCAAGUCGAACGGUAACAGGCCUUCGGGUGCUGACGAGUGGCGAACGGGUGAGUAAUGCAUCGGAACGUGCCCAGAGGUGGGGGAUAACGCAGCGAAAGCUGUGCUAAUACCGCAUGUGAUCUGAGGAUGAAAGCGGGGGACCAAGCAGCAAUGUUUGGCCUCGCGCCUCUGGAGCGGCCGAUGUCAGAUUAGGUAGUUGGUGGGGUAAAGGCCUACCAAGCCGACGAUCUGUAGCUGGUCUGAGAGGACGACCAGCCACACUGGGACUGAGACACGGCCCAGACUCCUACGGGAGGCAGCAGUGGGGAAUUUUGGACAAUGGGCGCAAGCCUGAUCCAGCAAUGCCGCGUGCGGGAAGAAGGCCUUCGGGUUGUAAACCGCUUUUGUACGGAACGAAAAGGCUCUGGCUAAUACCUGGGGCUGAUGACGGUACCGUAAGAAUAAGCACCGGCUAACUACGUG
rnacentral:rRNA from 1 species